rnacentral:rRNA from 3 species
UCUGGCGACCAUAGCGAGUGUGAACCACCUGAUCCCUUCCCGAACUCAGAAGUGAAACCGCUCCGCGCCAAUGGUAGUGUGGCAUUCGCCAUGUGAGAGUAGGUCAUCGCCAGAC